UAAUCCUUUCGCGACCGCCAUUUCGCUACGUCUCCCGCCCGCUCUAAUCCCUCUCUCCCCGCUCAAGAACUAGGGUUGUUCUUCGCUUCCGAUCCUUUCUUGGAUCGAUUCGUAAUGGUGAGCGUCUAUCUCCACCACGACGGUGACAAAUUCGACUCGAAGAAACCAGGCGCCGGCCGCUCGUUUCAAGAAGGCCCUCGCGGCUACCAUGUCCGCUGCCGUUCUUCCGGCCAAGUUCGACUCGAAGCCUCCUUCCACAGCCGAAGCAGAAUUAGGGAUCUGCUCUCUUCCGAUCCUUUCGUCGUUCGAUUCGAAACGGCCAGCUUCAAACCCUUCCAUCCCUUCACGACAAUGAUGGUGAACGUCCUGUCUCCCUCCUCGCCGCCCAUCAGAAGAAAUUGGACAGCGCUUUGCCGGCGCUGACACCCGCUUGCCCGGCCGAAGCACGUUGGAGAUUCUAAACCUACAUUGGUUUCUUUUCUCUCUCUCUUUGCAGCCGGAUCGUGGUUGAUCCGAGUGCCUCUUGUAUAUGGUUCUUGGAAUGAUCGAUUGGUCAGUGAAGGGUGAUGGCUGGAGAUGGGCGAGGACGCGGCAACAUCACAAGAGGCCAAGACAGCGACCAUAGAUCUGGCCACAUGCGGUGCGCUUACUUUGGUUUCGCUGAUACGGCUAUGCUUGAAAAUCGAUUUGGGGCAGCAUGAAGAGAUGGGAUGGCUGACCGAAAGAGGACGUGGAUGUCGUGAUGGACCCCCAAUGAUCACCGUCGUCGUCGACCCGGAAGAAGUCUUCGGGCUGGUUAUGGCAUGGCGUUGAAGAGGUGGGUCAGAGUGACUCGCCUUCCAGGAGACGGUUUAAUCAUCGCAGUUGAAAUGGACGUAGGUAAAUAAUCUAAGAUUAUGAAUUCGAGAUGGAUUUGUUGCUCCCUUUGGAUUGAGAUUUGCCCUGAUCUGUAAGAUGUGACUGAGCGCAAUGGUUGUGUCCGUGGUAACUGGGAGACUCCUAGCCAAAGCAAACCAUCUGAUGCUCGAAUCUGGAGGAGUUUAGAGCUGCAGGAGAUGCUGUUGGAAUGAUGCACUGGAUGGAUCGGAGACUAGUGAGGUGACUCAAAGAGGAAGAAGAUGAAGCAGUGUGGAGGACACGAAUGUGAUGGAGGAAGCAUACUUGUCGAUAGCGCACGACAAGCAAUGGGCAGUUGGCUGUAGAAUGAGGUGAAAAAGGGCUCACAUUCGAGUGAAGAGGGCUCACGUUUGGUAUGCAGUGGGUGGUGACAAGCGGUAGCAAGAGGCAAAACAACACACGCAUUUAGGCGAAGAGAGUUUAUGAUUUUUAAUUAAAUUUUUUUAGUAGGUCAAAUUUUGUUAAAUUUGAUUGUUACAACACCUUUUAUAUUGUUACGAGAACAAAUGAUAGCAAAUAUUAUAACAUUGAUGAA